rnacentral:rRNA from 1 species
UACGUAGGGACCAAGCGUUGUCCGGAUUUAUUGGGCGUAAAGAGCUCGUAGGCGGCCCUCCACGUCGGAUGUGAAAGCUCAGGGCUCAACCCUGAGAUGCCAUUCGAUACGGGAAGGCUAGAGGUAGGUAGGGGAAAGUGGAAUUCCUGGUGUAGCGGUGAAAUGCGCAGAUAUCAGGAGGAACACCGGUGGCGAAGGCGGAUCUCUGGGCCUGAUCUGACACUGAGGCGCGAAAAGCUAGGGGAGCGAACAGG